rnacentral:rRNA from 1 species
UGGGGAAUAUUGCACAAUGGGCGCAAGCCUGAUGCAGCCAUGCCGCGUGUGUGAAGAAGGCCUUCGGGUUGUAAAGCACUUUCAGCGGGGAGGAAGGCGUUAAGGUUAAUAACCUUGUCGAUUGACGUUACCCGCAGAAGAAGCACCGGCUAACUCCGUGCCAGCAGCCGCGGUAAUACGGAGGGUGCAAGCGUUAAUCGGAAUUACUGGGCGUAAAGCGCACGCAGGCGGUCUGUCAAGUCGGAUGUGAAAUCCCCGGGCUCAACCUGGGAACUGCAUUCGAAACUGGCAGGCUAGAGUCUUGUAGAGGGGGGUAGAAUUCCAGGUGUAGCGGUGAAAUGCGUAGAGAUCUGGAGGAAUACCGGUGGCGAAGGCGGCCCCCUGGACAAAGACUGACGCUCAGGUGCGAAAGCGUGGGGAGCAAACAGG